UAUUCGUUUAACUGUUUUAUUCUUUUAUCGCUAAUUUACUACAGAGAUUUUGCACUUACAUCAUUUUAGUUUGUGGCACUGGGGGAAAGAAAUCUUAUUUCAAAAAGACUGAUUCAGGUUGAAAUUCUCAAGGAUCCCUGUGCCACCUGCACUAAUCCAGCAACUGCAUUAUGUGUGUGGUGAACAGUGCUGAUAGACAGUCGUGAUUUUUCCACAACAGCUGUUUUAAGAAAGAAGCCUCUGAAAACUUCCAGUGACCCAGUCCCUAUAACAAAGCACAUGCAAAAUGUCAAAAAACAUGUUGAAUUCAUAAAAAGACACAGUGCCUGUACAAAGGUGCAAUGCCUGAUAUUUGAGGGAUUAAUGGUAAUCUUCUACCCUUUCUAGGUGCCUGUACAAAGCCAGACAGUAUCAAGUGAUUUAAAGGAGCCCCUGUAUCAUUUACUGCCAUUGUCAGACGCUCUGCGAUCGAUGAACGUCUUGAUUGUUGAUUCCACCUCCACAGUGGUUCUGCUAACUGGGAUGUGAUCCACGCCAUCUGCCUCGUGAUCUAUCACACAACAAUGUAGUGAAAAAAGAGAUCACGUGAUGCAAACAUCCUAUGUUUUGUGUCUGAAAAUAAGUUGAGAAAAAUUUAGGUCAGAGUAUAUGGGACAGAAAACAAACUGUGUGCCAAGAUACACCAUACAUGUUGUUUAUGUGUGUGUAUACAUAUGUAUAAUUCAUGCUUUUAUCCUUAAACAUCAACAAAAGUUUGUUAUCAACAACAAAGCAAGCUAUGCUUCAGUAAAAGUUUCAAAAUUGGCUCAGUUGGAACAGACUUUUGCAGGUCUUUAAACAGUUGCUGUUUUUAUUAUGUGUCCAAAAGUAUUCAUAAGUAAUAUACGAUGGAUCAGAAUUUAUUGACAUUCAGCUGCCUGCAUGCCGUGUUAUCUCGGAACCUCAUAAUCUCCAAACAGGCAAGCAAACACAUUUUCCUCUCACUAAUGUGUUCUUCCUUCUCCAAUAGCCCCUCGUACUCCUUCAUUUUUUUACCUCAAUCUCUAUGGUGAGCUUGGUGAUCGGUUCAUUGACUUUCUUCUCCCACCACCUUUGGCGUCUUGAAAAAAAAUCCAACAGUCAGUUUUGUUUUCUUUCCUAGUGCCUAUAGAAGCUACCUGGCUGUUCUCGGUUCUCAUUCUGCCCGGGCACAGUUGCUUGUUCUGCCACAUUCUGGGAAUUGGCAGGCUUCUGCUUUACAUGAGAUACCCACGAGAGAUGUCCCAAAUGCAGAUGGCAUCUAACUGUCUGGGGGAUGUCACUCAAAAGGUUAGAUGUCUUGGUGAGGCUGCCGAGUAGAUGUAUUCUUCAUUCUAUUGUGCAAAACGAUGAGAGAAACCUUCUGGAAAGUUUCUCUCUGACACCUUCAGGAUAACAGAGGAAAAGAGCACAGAGAGACAUGAAGUUGCCUGGUUAUUCAGGGAGAGCACGCCUGGAUGAAAACAGGAGAAUACGGAGGUGUUUCAGAAUUCAACUCUGCUCCAUAGUAGAGGAGGAGUAUCUUUUCAUUCAAAACUUUCUCAAAGCGCAUGUCCUUCAUGGAAAUAGGUGGAGUGUGGAUGGAUGGGGAGAAGAUUUUCAGAAGAGGAGGGCUAGGGAGGAGAACGGGUCCAGUUUGGUUCCCUGUGUAGGCUUGAAGCUAGGCACUAGCUGAUGAGAGCUGUGAAGAGUGAAUGUACAGCUUUUUGAACAGUGUUAAAACCUCUGCUGUCUUAGUAGUGUGUUUAUUGGGCUCCUCUUUCUCUCCUGGUGUGAGAUUCUGUGAAACCAUUUACUGCCUGGCGGUGACCUCUCUGUAUAUGGCUGCUUCGUGUCUGUGACUCCAGUGCAGCCAAACCACAGCUGUCCUGCUGUGAAAAGGCUUUAUUUGUUUUCAGGUGCGUAGUGAAGAGGAGGAGGAGAGGUGGAUGUUUUCCAGGUACUGGUAUUUUUCAACGUAACGUUAAUUUUUCAGGAAGCUCCAAGAAGUGAAAGAAGCUCUACUUGAGUGAGUGUGGUGGUCACGAGAAAAUGAAAAUUUUUCUGUUGAUGAAUGGUGAUUCAACCUUAGUUUUCAUAAUAGCCUUGAAGUUUUCCUUUGGACUAUAUCCUAAAAUAUUAAAAAACCCAACAAAACUAUAUAAGUUGCAAAAGAUCUUUGAACAUCUCGGUACCGAAGUACUUAUGUCUGGGAGGGUUUUGGGGAUCAUGUAGCUCAUGUCCCAAGGCAGGAGCAGCUCUACAUAAAAUGCACUUCAGUUGUCAGGUGUUUUUUUCCCUUGGAAAUUUUCUGUUAUUUUAUAACUUCCCAACAGUUCUGCUCCCCGCACCAAAGAUCUUAAUAUAUUUAGUGUUCUGAUUUCUCUUUAGUAGUUAGAAAUGUCUCAGAAAGUGGUUAUUAAUAAAUCAUUAAAGGUUUGCAUCUCAUUUAAUUUUCUUGCUGCUCUACUACUCUGUAUUUUCAACCAUAGUACAAAGUCAUUCUGAAAAUAUAAAGAGAACUUUUUUUACAGUGGUGUUGAAUCUAAAUGAUGAGGACAAACCUGGAGAUUUGCUCUUUACCUGUAAUACUUUUUAUUAUUCAAGUUAUUUGCUUAGAUAAAAGAUUUCUUAGCCUGAUCUUGUUUUAUCUGGCAUCUAGGAAGAAGAAAUAAUCGUGUAUGCAGGGCUUUACAAACUGCAUUUCUUUAAGAGAACAUGGAGUCACUUCACCAAUAGGGCUUUCUAGGGAAUAGGGAAUAGCAAGGUUGAAUAUAACGCUUGAUAACUACAGAUAUUUUCAGUAGCACCAAAGGAGGUAUGGGAAGUGAUGAAAAAACUUAUGAAAGGUAAACGGACUAUAACUCAUACUAAGUAUCUCCCCUUGUGCAGAAGCUCUUUUUAAAUUACUCAGAUAAAUGAGCUCAUUUAUGGAAUAUUUUGUACUGCAUGAACUUAUAUGGGCACCUGUCAUGUAUAUAUAUUUUUAAUACUGAACUCAUAUAGAUGGCUUAAAGUCCCCCUUGCCCUUUAGUAAAUUUAAAUCUCCCACAAAGCUGCUGAACAGUAGUCAUAAAGAAACAUUUAUGGUUCAACAUAAUUUCCCUUCAUUUCUUUUUCUCUUUCUUUAAAAAAAAAAAAAGGCAGUUUAAAAGUAAUAAAGCACUUCCUUCUGUAAAUCUUUGAUCUUUUUUCUUCCUAAGGGAAGAUUAAUUUGUAAAUAUGCUAAUGGAUUUGUAUAAUAUGAAACCUUCAUAAGAAAAACUACAUUAGUUCAUAUGAAUGAACACAUCUAUCUUAUUCAAUUUAUAAACUAAUGGCUGAGAGCAUCAACACUGCAUUCUGCUUGGUCUCAUGUCCAAAAUCACUGCUUGUAUUUCUAAGACAACAUAGAAUUUUAUAAAAAAAUUGUUAAAUAUGGCUAAUUUUGUUGCUCCUGACUUCCUUUUUUUUCCUUUUUCUUUCCUUUAGUUGCAGUAGUGAGAUGUGCUGCUGUUUCAGCCAGAUGAAUACCCUGCUCUGAAGAAAUUAAAUGUGAUGGUCGUUGUGGUAUGUGGGCGUAAGGUACUCAGCCGCAUGCCCUCCUAAUGAAUCUCAUUGGCUUACAGCAAGGAGCUGAGCAUGUCAGCACAGUGAUCACUCAGGUGGACAGUCCCAGAAGCUGCAGGACCAAGGCUGCCAUGCUACAAGGCUUGGAGGACUUGGAUCCCACCAGUGUCUCUCUAGUUGCCCAACCACUGUGGCUGCAGUGCGGGAAAAACACAUCUCUCCCCAUGGCAGGAGCAGAAGGGAUGGGAUAUGGGCAAGGUCUUCAUGGGGCAGAUUCACCCCAGUGGAGAAUGAAGCUUAGCGCUGGAGGACUCUUAAGCGCUGACCCUGAACCUCUAAGCUUUCUACAGCUAUUUUUCAGCAUUGUAGGCCUGGUUUAUUAAGGUGAAGAUGACAUAGCUGGUGUCUUCCUCAAUUGAAAGCAAAACACUAGUGGAAUGAAAAGCACAUCUGCCAGUGAUGGUCAAGGUACCUAAAAUAAUAGCUUUUUAAGACAGUAUUACAGUCAUAUAACUUGUUGGGGAAAAGCACACUAUGGCUCAUAAUCUGAAUUAAACAUGUGUCAUUGUGGCUGAGGAAGGAAUCUUCCACCUUCCAGAAACCUGAUAUUUUGGACCAGAUCCCUCUCUGAACAGGUUGUAUGCUGCCCUUUUCAAAAUAUAGCUAUCAGAAGAUGCCCUUCAGCAGAUGUGUUAAGAGGACUUGGUGAGCUUAACAUGUUUCGCCUGCUUAAUUUAAUUUGGAAAAAUUCAACCAGAAAAUGAAGUUAUUAACAGGUUGGUACAUUCAGAGAUAAGAUGAUGUCACAGGAAAGCAGUCAAGUGGGUUGCUUGUCAAAAUAUAAAAUAUGUAUCUGUCAGAAGCAAAUGAUAGGUAAGCUGUGGCUGGGUGUAGGAUGCAGUGAAAAUAGCGUGCUAAAAAUUGAAACCGAAUCCCACCAGUCUGGAGCACAAGCUUUUAGUAACUAUUGUGGUGAUCAGAAAUACAACAAUUCUGGGGACAUGAACUGCACUGCUUAAACACAGUACACGUAAUUUCUUGGCACCAGUAGCCAGAAGCUUGUACAUCGGUAUUAGACCUCAAGCAAACAGGAGAGACCUCAAACGUGUGGCUAUUUCAACAGAUGUCUUUGGAACUGGGACGCCCCAUUAGCUUGGUUAUGCCAAAAUGAGGAUUAAUAAAUCUUUCCUGGAGUGACUUGAGGACCUUCAAGGCCUUAAAAUGAGAAAAUGGAGUCUGUCUAGCCAACGUGAUGAGCCUUUUUCUAUUAGAGAGGUUUAGAUCAAAGAAAGAAGUCUCUAGUGUGUUCUCUAGGAACACGUACGUGUCACGUCAGUCACAAGCCUCUUCCUGCCUUCUGGCUUACUAUAUAAAAUAGCUGGCACCAGGAGUUUAAAGUUAAUAAACUCGGGAAUUUUAAACGGCAAUUUGGAGUCUCCUAUGAGCAAAACAGAAUAGGCUACUUAGCAAGGAAUGCAGUCAAACUCUCAAAUACCAUGAUGCUAAAAUGAAAGAAACGCCAUUAUAAUAAAUGUCAGUAUUGUGUUAUCAUUGAAGUUGGGAAAAUGAUCCCACUAAUGUGGAACUUCAUUCACUAUGAGUUGCAAAACGGAGCUUUAAGACUGUAAACUCCUGGGGACAGCCCAUGAAAUCUCUCAGUUUGCUCAGGAUCUUCCAUGAUGCAGAGUUUAAUUGUCAUUGGGAACUCUCAGGACUAGCAGAAUACAAAUAAUAGAACUCCUAAAUAAAAUGCUGCUCUUAUAUUUAAAUGUCAGAAGGGACUAGUGUGACCUCUUGAUCUAUGAGCCAUAGGGCUUUGUUCAGUAAUACCACCAUGAUAUUUCUAAUUUAUGCUUCAGCUUACACAGUUCCUAAAGCCUCAGCUCGAGAAAUAGUCCUCAGGAAAUAUAAGUUUUAAUGUUGUUCUUAUGUUAACUUUUUUUCCCUUGUAUUUAAAAUAUUUCCUAUUGAAAUUUCUUUAGCUUUAACUUUUAACCUUUGGAUUUUAUUCUUCUUUUUAUGCUUGAAUAAACUUACAUCAAAACCCUUCUCUUUUAUAAAUAAAACAGGUGGAGUUUAAAUCUGUAAGUGAGGACCUGCUUCAGCUGUCUUUGAAGUCAACGGGAAACGUCCCACCAGCUCCCAGCAGGAGUUGGCUCAGACCCUGAUGGUUCACAUUGAUGCCCCAUUUGGGGUGGGAUACAGCGGGAUGCAGUGCAUGCAGAGGACUGUAGCUGAUGGGAUCCAUCCAAGGGCCUUGGAUGCAUUGGAAAAUGAAGGCAUUCGCAAGAACUGUUGAAGUCUGGAAACUUGAGGAAUGAACCCCAAGGGGUUGGCAUGUGUGUGGACUGUGGCCCUCACUGGCAUCUACCACCUUGCUCAAUGCCCCAGCCCACCUCCAGUGACAGCGGGAUUGUUGGUCUUUGCCUUUUGAAUAAAACCAGUGUUGUUCUCCCCAUCGCAUUGCUGGUUGCUCCAAAAACUAUUAAGACUAGUCUCACAAAGAUCUGCAUGUUCCUGGAGCAAUGACUCACAUGUCCCUGCAGUGGUGCCCUGGGAGCAUCAUAGAUAUCUGAUGGAACAGACCUGCUCAGCAUCUCACAGGAGUUUUAGUCUAAAGGUGUGUGUUUGAGUUGCGCUCUGACCAGGUUGCUGAAGGCAAAGGUACUGACAGAGAAGCAGAAAUGGUUGGAAAAGCAGUAUCGGUAGUAUCAGUCUCCCUUUCUCUUCUGCCCUAACCACCAACAGCUGGAGAACAGGCAGCAGAAAGGCAAGAGGAUCAUGUCUCAUGGAUGUGGUUAGCCUUGGACUGAGGCCAGUAUGGUCCCAUGGACUUGGCCCCCUGUUAGCGAUCAGAUUGCCCUGGUGUGCACCUGCAUUUUAGUGUCCUUCAAAAGGCACCCAGUGCAUGGUUUCCAGAAAGCUCUUCACAGCGGCUCCUGGUGUGAGAGGUGCUCUGGAACUGAGGUGAGAACCACAAGCUUGAUGAAACAUGCCAAGCUGUGUUAUAAUUCAGGCUUUUGCUGAAGAUCGAGUCUGCACAUCAUGGGACAGGAACGUAAGGACUCUGCCAGGUUUUAAUGCAUCGUACCGGCUAUUUUGACUUGGUUAAGUAGGAUGGGAGGAGGUCUGUCUCAGAGACAGGCAAGUGUCCUUUCCACCCAGCAGCAGGUAAGAUGAUCCGUUGCUUGACAAUGCAGAGGGUUAUCCAGUAUCACGCAGGUCAUGGGGCCACACAUCCAACUUGUAAAGUUUCUCAUCUCUUCUUUCACACUGGAGGGGGAGGGAGCUGGAGUCCAUUGCCACUUCCACACUGUAGGACUUUUACCAGAGAUUUAAAAGAUGUAGCUUCUGUACCUCUACAACAAAGCCCAAUGAAACUGCUAAAUCCUAUCUCAGAGAUGUCUCCUAAAAAAAAAAAAAAAAAAUCACGUUUGCGUCCGUGUUUUGAUCUGUUGUUCAAUGGUCUGCAGCUUUCUUAAUAGGCAUCUGAAGAUAAUUUAAAAUCUUGAUAAUUUUCAGUAGGUGCUGGAAGCAAGUGUCAGUUGUCAAUAUCUGUUUCUUGGUUAUGUGCAAAUACUUCAUUUCUGCUCAUACAAAAUUCCUAACAGUUUUUUAGGUGAGUCAGCAUGCUAAUGCCUUAAAUUAUCAUUAAAAAAAAAAAAAAGGAAUUAUUUAUUUUUCCACAAUAAUUAACAUUUAUGAAUAAGCACAUAAUUUUCUAAAUAUCUCGUGUGUUUUCUUAUUCCAAAUGUGCUGGUAGUCAGUGUGAUGGAAUUUAAACUGGUUCUGCCAGAACAUUUACAUGUUCUCGGUCAUGUGAGUUGUAGAGAGCAUGUGAGCUGGAAUUUGAAGUAAGGAUAGCUUAAUACAUCACAGGAUACACCUUUACAGAGGUAUUAAUUCACUGCAGGUUUACUCUACAUGGAAUCUUUGUAUUUUUAUGACAUGUACUGUUGGUUGUAAUGCCAUACUGGGUAUCAUGUAUAACAUCAAAGAGCUAAGUAAGUAUAAAGGUAUGCUGUAUUUCUUUAGUUCACGUCAGCAAAAUCCUUUUCAACCUUGGAUACCUCCUACUGAAAACCUUUAGCUCUUACUGCAUUUUUGUUUGCAGCAUUCCUGUCCAAAAAUAAUAUUUGUAACAGGAAAAUAGAAUGACGAGGCUUUUUUUUUUUUUUUUUUUUUUUUUUUUUACUGUAGUUUUAACUUAUUUAGCUCUUAGGUGUCCUUGGAAAGUGGAAAAAAAGUCUACCAAAUAAAGCUAAGUUCUGAAGGUAUCAUCAGCUUGCUUUAAACCCUGUCAUGAAAUUGUUUUUCUUUAAAUCAGACUGCUUCCCAAAGGCACCAUGAAAUUUUCCCCCACUGACAUAACGUCCCACAGCAGAUUUGCUGAAGUCUUCAGAGAUUACUCCUGUGCCAGGACUUCAGGCUCUGCUAAGCACAUCGACAAAGGUUUUUGUGGACAGGUCCAAGCAAGACAGAUAAAAGACAGGUGUGACAUGGAAGCCCUGUAGAUGUUUUCACAUCUGAAAAGUACAUGAACCCGGGGUAAUGGGCCCUCCUGAGAAGGAGGGCUUGGUCUCUUGAGCUUAGUGGCAUCCUAUGUAGCUGCGCAACUUCUAAGCAGUUUGAAAUACGAGUAGCCUGAGUGUCUGUCUCCUUUAGAAAAGUUGCUUAAAUAAAGGAUUUUGCAUGUGGAAGCUCUGUUGAGCUGAGGUGUUCGUUUAUGGGACAGGUGGGGCUGGGCCUGGGUCAGACCGGUGUAUUCUUUGUUCCCUUUGGAGAUGACCCUGUAAUUCCCUUACCAGAGGAAUGAUCGGGCUGCCCUCCCCAGAAGAAGACAAAGGGAAUGAUUGUCCAACCUUUGCAUGUACUGAUGGGUAGCUAUCAUUAGAUGGAAAAACGUGUUAGGAACUGGAAGGGUUUGACAAAAUAGUUUAAAAUAGUGGUUGCAUAUGAAACCAGCUGCUGCAGAUAUUAGCUUUUGCAGUAAUUUAAUUAUAAUAAUCUUUACAUUCUCUAUAGUCUUGCUUUUAGCAAGGCAAAUUACUUUUAUAAAUUUAUUUUUGUACAGUGCAUCUGAGAAGUGCCUGUCUCUGAGGUGGACAGAUGCUAAUCAGUACACAAAGUACUGCAUCACGUGUUUCAGCUCGGGACUCAGAAAUGUCAUAGGACCCACAGUAUCCUUGAACAGACAGGACCUCAGCUUCAGAUGUGUCACUCAAAAGACAGGUUGUAUAUGACACAUAGGUUGCUUUAUACCACUGUAUAAUUUGGUGCGCUUAUGCAAAGAAGUGUAUGUGGGAUCGAUGGCAUAUGGUAUAUUAAGAAAGAAUAACACCAGAUUUUUUAAAAAAUGCAUUCACCCAUUAAAUGGUGUAAAUUAAAGUAAGCUGUCAAAAUGACAGCACAAUAAUGCCAUCUUUGCAAUAUCACAUACUGCAGCAUAGUUAAAUCAUAUCACUUUUGUGGAAGAAUUACAGAUGAGAUCCAAGAAAAAAUUGCUUUCGAAAUGCAAUUCUUUGUUAGUUAAGAAUCAUCACUGCUAGCCAGGAUCCCCUAUAAACACAUAAAGCACAGAGUAACCAUAAUAAAUCAUGAUAAUUUAUAUCACAGCUAAUUCUGGGGAAGUAGCAUCAGGGGUUAUACUUCAGAUACACUUCAUAUUACUCAAACUGUAAUUAUUUUCAUUAAAAUAUAAAAUUGCUUACAGACGAUUUACUUGAAACACACAGCAUUGCGCAUUUAACCAUGUACACAACAGGGCCACAAGAGUUCAAAACAAAUAAAGUCAAGUGUUAAAUAACAGCACUCAUACUUUUUAAUUGCAUAUCUUUGUAGACACAAUCAAUGUACUUUUAAUAUUCCUUUUUUAGUGAAAUGUUGGACUAGCUUUUUCAAUCAUCAUCAUGUUGAUUAAAAGUCAAUGUCAAAAUAAACUUGAGAAAAUACUGUUAGGUGCUUGUAAAUACAGCCUCUCUAAUGGUUUCUCUGUGUCAAGAGGGCAAAUUUUAUUUCAGGAGAAAAAAAGGAAAUGCUUCAAGUUUGUGAGAAGGCGAGCAGUGGAAGGUUGAAGAGUUUGAAUGAUUUCAAGUGUAAUAAUUUAUAAUGCCACUUGCUCUCUAGUGCCUUUCUUUGACAAUCUCAGUGAGUUCUACAAAUGGUAAUUAAUUACGGUCUCUAACACCUCUGCAAGGUAUGUAUGGUGCAGUAUGAGGUGCGGAGCAGAGCAACCCUAGGAACCCCUGAAAUAUACAGGGGCUGCAGGAGAGCUUCCCUCUGCCACCAUUAGUCUUGAACAGCCUGUGAUAAUAUGUAGAAUCAGUGCCUAAUAUUUACAUAUUAGGUUUGAUUUAUUGCUGGUUAUCUGAUUUCACUUUUUAUAUGAUCAUCAGAGCAGCAGAGAUGCUAAUCUGAGAGCAGUGCUUUACUGAUUUGCACCUACUCUACCCCACAGACGUGCUGUGCAGCUGACAGUGGGGUUUUGCCUGCCUUUAUAUAUACUUUUUUUAAAAAAACAGGUCAAUGAAAUCCACUUACCAGAGCUGGAGUUGCACUAUUUGUCUCUUCUUUUGCCUUUUAAACCUUUAUUCCUUGAAACAAAUCCAUGGAAACUCUCUCUCUGCAUCCUUUCUAAUAGGGGGGAAUUUGGAUGGAAGUGUGGUAAGGCAGAACAGAGCUCUGUGGCUGUCCUGGAAAAGGAAAGGUAAGUUUAAUCAGCAUACCUGUUGCUCACUUGGUGAAAGUACUCUUUCCUGAAGCUUCUACAAGUUGCACUAACUUAAAUGCUUGUGCAAGCCUAAUCAAGAUCCAGAGUCUUAAUACAGUGAUGGAGCCUAUUUUGGGGCUCUUGAUCUAAACAGAACCAAGGCAACUUAAAUACAUCUCUUUUUAUCAAAUCUAGGGUCAGAUCCUGAGAAAAAAAAUGUCACCCAAAAAUGCUUUCCUGCAGGGUCAUCCCCCGUGCAGUGCGAAGGAUGGGUUUGGCCACAGGAAUGAGUCGAAAUCGGGGAGUUAAUGAGGUCUUUGCCUGUUUGCUGCUGAAGUUCCAUGACAACAGCGGGUGAUGCAGAGAUUUCCAGAGAAAGAAAGGAAGAGUUGAGCUUUCGGUUGUGCUAACAGCCCCUGUAGUCAGUGUCAAUACAUAGAACUUGACUCUAGCCCAUAUUUUCAAUAGUUUCACUAGAAAAUAGUUCUGAAAAUCUCCCGUAGCACACCUCUCUAUGGCAGGUCUUUGCCCAUCACUGCAGAUACCGUCAAGACCCUGGAAAUCUGCUGUGGCACAGCUGGAUUUUUUGUGUGUCUAUAACAACAUUCUCUCUUCAGAAGGGUUGAAAGGCCCAGGCAGGUUGGCUGAAAACUCUUCUGGUGAAGGCAUUUUUCCAGAUGCCUCUUCCAGCAGUUGGUUUCCAUGGCUAUCCCAGCAGGUCUUUUCUGGAGUUUGCCAGGGAUGUCUGGUUAGAAACCUUCUUUCCAGAGAUGCCUCCAAACCUGCCCCAAGCAGAGCUCCAGAAACUGCUGAGGAUGGAAAAAAUCAAGGUGUAAAUCAAGGGCAGCACGUAGAUUCUGCUUUUUUUCUCCGAGUCUUUGCAAAGCCACUGUGGUCCUUGCUGUACUUUCCCACCUCACAUCUAUUUAAAACUGGUGCUGGUUAUUUUCCUUGCAGACUUCAGAGCAGUUGCAGCCUCAAAAAUAAUCCCUGUUGCUUCAAGAUGUGCCGCCGGAGGACUCGCCCCCCACCAGGCUGUUCCAGGGAGGCCCUGACUGACCCAGUAUCCUCAUUCGAAGUGUUAUGGAGCAAGGCUAUGGAGAGCAUCUUCCUUGCUGGACGCCAUCUUCAAUGUGGGCAUUUCAAAGAUGGGAUUGGAACCUGGACCUCCUGCCAGCCCCAGAUGUGUGACCAUCAGGCUACGGGUCUGAUUCAGUCUUGCAGUUUUGAUGUCUCAAGCAAAUGUCAGCACCUUUACCGACAAACACAUCGACAAGUGGAUUAGAUAAGCACGUGGGCUGGAGAAGGCAUCUGCUUCUGGUCUUCUAAUGUACGUCAAGGACCUGUGUCUGGAGAGCUGUGCAUCUCCCCUGGUCAUCACGGAAAUCUGGACUGACUUCACCACAUACUUAUUUCGAACUGUACAAGUUACACCAUUGGACACUGACUGUCGGAGAAUGUUUACUACCAUGCUUACCAGAAUUUGGUUGAAGAGCCCUUGAGAUAAGUAUGAGAGGUUCAUACCAUGAGAUAAGUAUGAGAUUUCACAGGUGAAAUCUCUCUUUUCUUUAGUCAUCUAUAGACUGUUAUAAACUAUUCUUGUUUGAAACAGCAGCAACCCAAUAGGUGAUGCUUCAUGAAGGCUUCCUCGAGAGGGGUUGCAGCAACGGGGGACAUAAAUACUUCUCUGAUGUUUUUCAGAAAUACAGUUAUACCCAGAGAAUCAUUACUUUACUCCUGUUCUGCAACACAUAAAUACACGUCAGAUGUGUGGUAAACCAAAUUCUCUCAGGAGCUUGUCCUAAAAGAGGAAAAGACACAAUGAUUUAGAGCCUACAUCUGCAGCUCUUGCAGCUGCUUCGGUCCCUGCUGCUGAAGGAGAAUUCCCUGCAUCAAUGGCCUCUUGACGGAGGGGCUUAGAGCAGUUCCUGAAGCACAUGCCCAAGGACACCUAUGGCUGUUGCUAACCCACUGGGAAGGAGUGGAACGGACAGCCACCGUGCGGCUUGAAGGACAGAGGCUGCUCCUGCCACCAGAUGCCCCAUCUCGCACCAUCUCUGCUGCCACUUUGCAAGUGGAAGAGGACUCCCUGCCGGCUGCGACUCUUGUUGUGUUCUCUAGAAUUGAUUGAGAGCAGGAUUAGAGGAGGUAGCUUCCUAAACCACAGGGAGGGUCAGCACGGUGGGGCGCUGGCACGGCACACCUUUGUACUCAAGCUUGCAGGAGUCACUGGAGGGUGUGCUUAGCUGUGAAGGCCUGCUGGAAUGUCUUCAGUCAUUGGAGACACGCGUGGGACAUCUCUGUAACAAGGCAGCUGAAGAUGUGAGGAUGUUCUGGAGCAAAGGCUUGCACGACCCCUGUGUUUUGACAUUAUUCUUCAUGGCGAUAGAUGGGGAAUAUAGCAGUUCCAGCUACUGCAGCAGUGCAGUGUGAUUCCUUGCAGUCUACGUGCAAAAACCACCCUCUUAGUAAGCACCUCGUCUCCUCAGUGAGCUAGUAACACAUCUAUGACUUCAGUAAUUAAAGUAAGUUUUUAUUGCUUUUGACUUAUGUUAGCACUGGAGAGCAAGGAGAGAGACAAGGAAGGUAGGCUUCGCACUGGGGCCCUGGGAAACAGGCGUGCAGCUCCUGGCUGCUUCUGCUGCAGUGAAAAAAGACAGGACUGGAUCCUAAAGGUAUUAAAUGCCUAAAUCCUGUGGAAUUCAAUGUAAAUACUGUGGGGAUCUGGGCUGAAUCUCUCUAUACCUUAGCUCUUCAUCUGUCCUACAAGAAUAAUAAUUCUUCUCUCCUCAAAAUGGAGUAUAAUAAUAAACAUGUUAAGGAAAACAAGGUGCUCAGCUACUGUUGUCUCUGAAUGUAAAUAAAUAAAUAAUAAAAAAUAUAUAUAU